GCGGAUGUAGCCAAGUGGAUUAAGGCAGUGGAUUGUGAAUCCACCAUUCGCGGGUUCAAUUCCCGUCGUUCGCCCAUUUUUGCU
rnacentral:tRNA from 1 species